GACGAACGCUGGCGGCGUGCUUAACACAUGCAAGUCGAACGGAAAGGCCCUGCUUGCAGGGUACUCGAGUGGCGAACGGGCGAGUAACACGUGGGUGAUCUGCCCUGCACUUCGGGAUAAGCCUGGGAAACUGGGUCUAAUACCGGAUAGGAGCCAUUUUUAGUGUGAUGGUUGGAAAGUUUUUUCGGUGUAGGAUGAGCUCGCGGCCUAUCAGCUUGUUGGUGGGGUAAUGGCCUACCAAGGCGGCGACGGGUAGCCGGCCUGAGAGGGUGGACGGCCACAUUGGGACUGAGAGACGGCCCAGACUCCUACGGGAGGCAGCAGUGGGGAAUAUUGCACAAUGGGCGCAAGCCUGAUGCAGCGACGCCGCGUGGGGGAUGACGGCCUUCGGGUUGUAAACUCCUUUCGCUAGGGACGAAGCUUUUUGUGACGGUACCUAGAUAAGAAGCACCGGCUAACUACGUG
rnacentral:rRNA from 1 species